rnacentral:lncRNA from 1 species
ACAGGCGCACCAGCGCAAACGGCCCUCGGGGGUCUCCCUGAGGAUCCACGUAAUGCCACAGGGGCUCGCGAGGUGACACCGCGUUCUUGGCUGCAGGCACUGGCUCGCACUGCUCCGGGUGAAGAACCCCGUUCAUGGCUGCAGGUGCUGGCUCGCACUGCUCGGGGGGAAGAACCCCGUUCAUGGUUGCAGGUGCUGGCUGGCGCAGCUCCGGCUGAAGAACACCGUUCAUGGUUGCAGGUGCUGACUUGCACUGUUCAAGGAGAACAUCCCCAUUCAUGCCUCUCUGAGCAUGUAAGGUUGCAGGCGAGGCUGACUCGGACCACUCUAUGAGAAUGUUGCCACCAUUCAUGGCCCUUGGAGCAUGCACCGUGUUGCCUUCUGGCUUAUGUUGCACCGUGGGAAGAUCCUCAUCUUCGUCACUGUCUAGAUUGAUGACUUCUACUUCUUUAUCCUUUGUCAUGACAACUUGCCGGGAGUGGUCACUUUCCUCUCGGUCAACAUCAAUGGCUUGAGUUGGGCUAUCAUCUGCAAUAACUUGCAAAAUUAAUUGUGGUUGGAGAAAAAGAGGAAACUG